GUAGGGAAUAUUGGACAAUGGGGGCAACCCUGAUCCAGCGACGCCGCGUGAGUGAUGAAGGCCUUCGGGUCGUAAAGCUCUGUUGCAGGGGAAGAACACAAUGACGGUACCCUGCUAGAAAGGAUCGGCUAACUUCGUGCCAGCAGCCGCGGUAAGACGAGGGAUCCUAGCGUUGUUCGGAAUUAUUGGGCGUAAAGCGGGUGCAGGUGGCUUGGUAAGUCAGAUGUGAAAGCCUGGGGCUUAACCCCAGAAGUGCAUUUGAUACUGCUGAGCUUGAGUGCUGGAUAGGCUAUUAGAAUUCCUGGUGUAGUGGUGAAAUACGUAGAUAUCAGGAGGAAUACCGGAGGCGAAGGCGGAUAGCUGGCCAGACACUGACACUCAGACCCGAAAGCGUGGGGAUCAAACAGGAUUAGAAACCCCUGUAGUCC
rnacentral:rRNA from 1 species